GCCUUACCUGCAAAUAAAGGAGAGUACAUACUGACCGUCUCUAGAGCAAGUGGCAAAGGAUUUGGUGGUUGGUAUCCGAGACCUAAGUUUGAAUACUUGUUGAUUCACAUUUCUAGCUAAGUUUAUUUCUAAAUAAGAUAAACGAAGCGAAUAGCGUGCUACCUAUCUCUCUCUCAAAAAAAAAAAAAAGAGAGAUUAC
rnacentral:lncRNA from 1 species